GGGCCCGUGGCGCAGCCCGGAUGGCGCGGCAAGUGGAAAACCUGUAGGUCGUGGGUUCAAAUCCCACCGGGCCCGCCA
rnacentral:tRNA from 2 species